rnacentral:tRNA from 1 species
AUUUUAGUAGUUUAUAAAAAUUUUGGUUUGUGGAGCCAAAGAUGCAUGUAAUGCCUAGAAUA